rnacentral:misc_RNA from 1 species
GGAUUAUGCAAAUUAUUACAAUGAUCCUUUUGUAAAACAAGAUAAUAGAAUCUAAAAUAAGAUGAUAUUUUCCGUCAAUCUGGUUAAGCAGUAGGCCCCAAAGUAUUCUUAAUUUGGUAUAUCAAUUUGUAAAGAAUUAGCUUUGAUUCUUUCCUUGCUCGGAAGAUGCUAAUCAUCUUUGAAUUGUGAUUGAAAAAUCUUCUUGAAGAAAUAUUAGACUGGAAAAAUUGAGCCAAUGGAUUGACA